rnacentral:rRNA from 1 species
GAUGAACGCUGGCGGCGUGCCUAACACAUGCAAGUCGAACGAAGCACCUUACCUGAUUCUUCGGAUGAAAGUUUGGUGACUGAGUGGCGGACGGGUGAGUAACGCGUGGGUAACCUGCCCUGUACAGGGGGAUAACAGCUGGAAACGGCUGCUAAUACCGCAUAAGCGCACGAGGAGACAUCUCCUUGUGUGAAAAACUCCGGUGGUACAGGAUGGGCCCGCGUCUGAUUAGCUGGUUGGCAGGGUAACGGCCUACCAAGGCAACGAUCAGUAGCCGGUCGGAGAGGAGGAACGGCCACAUUGGAACUGAGACACGGUCCAAAAUCCUACGGGAGGGAGCAGUGGGGAAUAUUGCACAAUGGGGGAAACCCUGAUGCAGCAACGCCGGGUGAGUGAAGAAGUAUUUCGGUAUGUAAAGCUCUAUCAGCAGGGAAGAUAAUGACGGUACCUGACUAAGAAGCUCCGGCUAAAUACGUG